rnacentral:lncRNA from 10 species
GCCUGGCUAAUUUUUGUAUUUUUAGUAGAGAUGGGGUUUUACCAUGUUGGCCAGGCUGGCCUCAAACUCCUAACCUCAGGUGAUCCACCCGCCUCAGCCUCCUAAAGUGCUAGGAUUACAGGCUGAGCCACUGUGCCUGGCCAUUAAAUGUGAUUUUAAAUAAUAAACAAGUGCACACACACUAGAUUACAUUUUCAGAAUUACCAAGUGAGUGGGAGUCUCAACCCCAUCUGUUGAGACCUUAUCCCACGCAGACUGUCCAGAACCUCAACCCAGCAGGGU